GCCAUGUUUGGUACUCCUGGGCAGUGAAAAACCCGGUUAGCUUGGGCACCUCACGCUGAACAGAGUACUGCAGUCUUAGCAACAGUCUGGACUCCGCUGGGACCAAUGAUGGGUUACAAGCCUGUGCACCACACCUAAUAAUACCUACCUGGAAGGGUGAGUGGUGGCGCCUAAGUAAGUCCCUGAGGCAAAGAACAGGGUCCAGCUCUUAGAGGUGGAUCAGUCAGGAUGUGUCUCUGUCUCCAUCUCCCAGCAUGCCUAGCGAAUCCAGGUAUACUGACAGGGGCGUGGAGCCGGAGCAGCAGCAAACUACACUGCAGGAUGCCUAAUACCAAC